rnacentral:rRNA from 1 species
AACGAACGCUGGCGGCAUGCCUAACACAUGCAAGUCGAACGAGACCUUCGGGUCUAGUGGCGCACGGGUGCGUAACGCGUGGGAAUCUACCCUUGGGUUCGGAAUAACAGUUAGAAAUGACUGCUAAUACCGGAUGAUGACGUAAGUCCAGAGAUUUAUCGCCCAAGGAUGAGCCCGCGUAAGAUUAGCUUGUUGGUGGGGUAAUGGCCUACCAAGGCGACGAUCUUUAGCUGGUCUGAGAGGAUGAUCAGCCACACUGGGCCUGGGACACGGCCCAGACUCCUACGGGAGGCAGCAGGGGGGAAUAUUGGACAAUGGGCGAAAGCCUGAUCCAGCAAUGCCGCGUGAGUGAUGAAGGCCUUAGGGUUGUAAAGCUCUUUUACCAGGGAUGAUAAUGACAGUACCUGGAGAAUAAGCUCCGGCUAACUCCGUGCCAGCCGCCGCAGUAA